CACGUAGGAGGCGAGCGUUGUCCGGAAUCAUUGGGCGUAAAGAGCGCGCAGGCGGCUUGGCAAGUCGGGUGUGAAAUCCCCGGGGCUCAACCCCGUGACUGCAUCCGAUACUGUCAGGCUAGAGGUAGGUAGGGGGAGAUCGGAAUUCCUGGUGUAGCGGUGAAAUGCGCAGAGUAUCAGGAGGAACACCGGUGGCGAAGGCGGAUCUCUGGGCCUUACCUGACGCUCAGGCGCGAAAGCUAGGGGAGCGAACAGG
rnacentral:rRNA from 1 species